rnacentral:tRNA from 1 species
GCCGGUGUAGCUCAGUUGGUAGAGCAGCUCAUUCGUAAUGAGAAGGUCGGGAGUUCGAGUCCCCCCAUCGGCACCA